GACGAACGCUGGCGGCGUGCUUAACACAUGCAAGUCGAGCGGUAAGGCUCCUUCGGGAGUACACGAGCGGCGAACGGGUGAGUAACACGUGAGCAAUCUGCCCUUCACUUUGGGAUAACCCCGGGAACCGGGCUAUACCGAAUGCGACCACCGAUGGCAUCGUCUGGUGGUGGAAAGUUCCGGCGGUGAAGGAUGAGCUCGCGGCCUAUCAGCUUGUUGGUGGGGUAACGGCCCACCAAGGCAUUGACGGGUAGCCGGCCUGAGAGGGUGACCGGCCACACUGGGGACUGAGACACGGCCCAGACUCCUACGGGAGGCAGCAGUGGGGAAUAUUGGACAAUGGGCGAAAGCCUGAUCCAGCAACGCCGCGUGAGGGAUGACGGCC
rnacentral:rRNA from 1 species